AUACGUAGGGUGCGAGCGUUGUCCGGAAUUACUGGGCGUAAAGAGCUCGUAGGUGGUUUGUCGCGUCGUCUGUGAAAUUCCGGGGCUUAACUCCGGGCGUGCAGGCGAUACGGGCAUAACUUGAGUACUGUAGGGGAGACUGGAAUUCCUGGUGUAGCGGUGAAAUGCGCAGAUAUCAGGAGGAACACCGGUGGCGAAGGCGGGUCUCUGGGCAGUAACUGACGCUGAGGAGCGAAAGCAUGGGUAGCGAACAGGAUUAGAUACCCUGGUAGUCCAUGCCGUAAACGGUGGGCGCUAGGUGUAGGGGUCUUCCACGACUUCUGUGCCGUAGCUAACGCAUUAAGCGCCCCGCCUGGGGAGUACGGCCGCAAGGCUAAAACUUAAAUGAAUUGACGGGG
rnacentral:rRNA from 1 species